UAGGGAAUCUUCGGCACUGGGGGCAACCCUGACCGAGCAACGCCGCGUGAGUGAAGAAGGUUUUCGGAUCGUAAAGCUCUGUUGUAAGAGAAGAACGUGUGUGAGAGUGGAAAGUUCACACAGUGACGGUAACUUACCAGAACGGGACGGCUAACUACGUGCCAGCAGCCGCGGUAAUACGUAGGUCCCGAGCGUUGUCCGGAUUAAUUGGGCGUAAAGCGAGCGCAGGCGGUUUAAUAAGUCUGAAGUUAAAGGCAGUGGCUUAACCAUUGUUCGCUUUGGAAACUGUUAAACUUGAGUGCAGAAGGGGAGAGUAGAAUUCCAUGUGUAGCGGUGAAAUGCGUAGAUAUAUGGAGGAACACCGGUGGCGAAAGCGGCUCACUAGUCUGUAACUGACGCUGAGGCUCGAAAGCGGGGGGAGCAAACAGG
rnacentral:rRNA from 1 species